CAGCGCAGGAGAAGAGGAGGCACACUGAGAAGGCGAUCAACAUGACAAGGAUUCAUUGCUGCUGCGGCUGAAUGAUUUUGUGGUCAUAUUGAUCGCCUUUUCAGUCUGCCUCUUGUCCCCGUCAAUCCUGAUCUG
rnacentral:pre_miRNA from 1 species